GACGAACGCUGGCGGCGUGCCUAACACAUGCGAGUCGAACGAGGCCACCCUUCGGGGUGAGUCGAGUGGCGGACGGGUGAGUAACACGUGAGCAACCUGUCCCUGUGCGGGGGACAACCCGGGGAAACCCGGGCUAAUACCGCAUGGGCCGGAGCUUCGAGUGGAGCGCCGGGGAAAGAUGGCCUCUUUACAAUGCUAUCGCGCAGGGAGGGGUCUCGCGGGCUAUCAGCUAGUUGGUGGGGCUAAUGGCCCCACCAAGGCGGCGACGGCUACGGGGGUUCUGAGAGGACGACCCCCGCACAUUGGAACUGAGACACGGUCCAGACUCCUACGGGAGGCAGCAGUGGGGAAUAUUGGGCAAUGGGCGCAAGCCUGACCCAGCGACGCCGCGUGCGGGAGGACG
rnacentral:rRNA from 1 species